rnacentral:lncRNA from 1 species
AUGGGGGUCGAGCCACUCACUGUAAGAAUCACCGAGCUUUCAAGAGAAGUCAGCUGGGAAAUACCGAGCAAGUCCUUUGAGAUCCCUCUGAGCCUCAGCUGCUGGAUCUAUACAAUGGGUACCAGGUACUGCUCUGGACCAUCUAUCUGGACACCACGACAUUAG